CUGACAGGAGGGCUGGACUGCAACAAGAUAGAUGACAGGGUUACACGGCAAUGCGUGAGAACCCUGCCCCUUUUAAGCGAGCUGAGUUUUCCUUGCGUGACUGCUUUCCUUCUCUCCUCCAGCCAGCUUCCACCUUGUGACCGGCUCUCUUAACUCAUUCUUUUCUGUCCAUGGGAGGGAGAGUGCAGAGACUGGAGGAGUCAGGGGGCAGGAGGGGAAAUCUGGCCCAGGGUUUAGAAGUGAAACAAGAUGCAAGAAGCCUGCUUUGUUCAGAGGGCAGCUUCUUUUACAAGAGUGGUUUGGUAUGUUAGCACUGGAAGGGAGCACAAACUCCCCGCUCCUAGCUUCCAGCUGCACAGCGCUCUCAGAGAGCAGGAGCUCCCAUGAUCUCAGCCAUCAAUCAAUAGCCUGAUAGAUCAGUUCAUUAGGGUGACCAUUUUACCCAAUGAGAAAACGGGACAUCCGGAGGGGCCCCUCUCCCCCGAUGCUGUUGCCAGUCGCUGGAACCUGCAGGGCCCCCCUCAGGAGGCUUAUGCCUAUGGCUGGAAUCAUGUGCAGGGCCCCCACAUGCUGGAAUGUUGCCUCCCCCUAGCCCUGCCUCCCCACCUGCGGGGGGCUGGCAUUUCUGCUCAACCCUUCCCGCACCGCACCUGACUCUUCUGACAAAAGUGGGCAUUUGUCCAGUUUGCUCUUGCUAACUGAUCAAGUCAGCAGGAGCAAACUGGACAAAUGCCUCCUUUUGGGGGGGGUGGGGGAGAGUGGGGACAGCUGGGACAGGGCUUAAAAAAGGGACUGUCCCAGCCACAACCAGACGUACGUUCACCCUAGUUCAUGUACCCACACUGCUAAUGGUAGCAAUUCAGCACUCAGGCUUUUAUCCUGUCACUGUAAAUACAAACCAGCUGUACAAACAUGGUCUGCUGCUACUCCCUGCUCUGCUAAGGUCUUCCCCUUCAAAGUUCCAGUGUACGUCUAGCUUUCACCUUAAAAAUCCCCAGUGUGCUCCUUCUAAGUAAGUCCCCAAGCCCAGCUCUGCUCCUGUUGGGGCAGUCUCUCACAGGCACCCCCAAACUCCCCUCCCCCAUCACUUCCCCUGUGGCCACUCUUCAGACUGGCUCUCCCCUGAGGCCUCUACAGGGCCCCUGGCUCACUCUUCCCUCCACAGUAACCGGACGUGAGGUAAGCUGUGGGGGCAGUACAGUACGUGAGGAAUCAAAUGACAGUUGUUCCACUUCCUGCUUGAAACCUUCAGGAUUUGACAAAUAUUAGAAAAGAGCUGCUGUGGUGGGAGUUUUUGUUUAAGAUGGAUAUUUGUUUUAAAAGAGGUGGACUAAUGCAGUCACAAUGGAUAAAUAGUUCUGCUGGGAACACAGCAAAGUUUCUCAGAAUACAGGCCGAAUAAAGCAGAUACAUACCAACAGUUGCGGCCAUGGGGCUUUCAGAGUGGUAGUAACUAAAUGUUGCUACUGGCUGAAGGCUGGUGUUGGCCUGUAUUCUGAUGUGAUUUGGUUGGCUCAGUCCCGUUCCUAGUGGACAAGUGAGCAUAUCAGAUUGGUAAAACCAAUACCAGUCUCCACAAAGAGGUAAUAGAGCACAUAGGUAGAACAACCUUACCUCCUCCAAGUUCAUCCCCCACAUCCAUGCUAGGUCUGUUCCUUGGACAACUAAAUGACUUUGUCUCCAGGGCCAGCAGUCUGCUAACUUUCAAGAGAAAAAAACUGAGUGAAUUUAGUAAAGGAUUACAUUAAAUGUAGAAAAAAAGAGAGCCCUAAAAAUUAGUUACUACUUAUGGGAGAAUCUUGGACAUGUUGCGAUGGACUCCUGUUAACACAGGAAUUUUGGUCACUGCCAAACUGGGAUGGAUUGGAACCUGUGAUAGACAGGCUGUUUCUCACCACUAACUGUCUAAGGCUAUGUCUACACUGGCACUUUUGUCGCUGAAUGACAAAAAGUUUAGCAAUGAAAAGUGCUGGUGAGGAUAGCACUUUGUCGGCAGGAGCCGCGCUCCUGGCGAUGAAGCUACCACCCCUCAUUGGGGGUGGUUUUAUUUUGUCACCAGGAGAGCUCUCUCCUGGUGAUAGAGAACGGCCAUGCAGCGCACAUUACAACGGUGUGGCCACAGCGGCACAGCCGUGGCAUUGUACAGUGCACUGUGUCGACAUAGCCUAAUUCAUCAAAUCUUCCAGGACUGAUGGAGCUUUGUAACACUACUGCAUUCUUUCCUUCCCCAGCAAACUGCUGCCCAGUUCAGAGAGUGGAACUCCAACACUCAGAAUGGGGGGGGAGGGGAGGGCAGAGAAAGAACACUGUGAAAUAUUAAGCACUCUCAUCUACCUCUGAUUGUAUAGAAUAUAAACGUAUAAAUGUCUUCACAUAGCACCCUAGAUGUACACAGCCUUGUAAAACAGCUAAAUAGCACCCAACAAAAACUAGAACAGCUGCUCCAAAACACUUACAGGGGGAAAGUAUGAGGACAGGCCUAACUAUUCAAAAGGGGCCUGGAAUUUUAGGUACCUUAAAAAAAAAUUGAUAUCUGGGGCCUAAGUUCCUGAGCAGCAGCAACUUCUUCUGAAGUAAAUGGGAACUGAGGAUGACACCACUAACAAACAGCUGCCUGCCUACCAAGCAGUGAGUUGUAUUCACAUGCAACGUGCUAAUGCUGAAAAUGUUUCCUUUGUUUUCAGACAGGCAGUGUGUCAUGCCAUUCCAGGCCUGGCUGCAGUUACGGUGGGAUGAGAUCUGUUGCUACACCAGAAAUCUUAGACACUACCUCACUAGCCAAAUAAGAACUUCUCUGGGCACUGGAAAACACUGGGAAAGAGAUGCUACGAAAAACUAUAAGGAAGAAUUACUCAGCUGUAGAACUAUCAGGUUAAUAGUGGAUAUUAAACUCGACGACACAAACUGCACUUGAGCGAGAAGACAAGCAAGCAUCCAGAGUUAUCCCUUGUGGAUGAGACUGAUGCUUCAACCUCAGAUUCUGGUGAGGAAACCUAGGCAUGAGCAACGUUGAAAUGAGAUAACACAGGGGUUCUCAAACUUCAUUGCACUGCAACCCCCUUCUGACAACAAACAUUACUACGUGACCUCAGGAGGGGGGGGACCUGAGCCUGCCCGAGCCCCACCACCCCGGGGUAGGGGGGCCCAAAGCCAAAGGACUUCAGCCCCAGGCAGGAGGCCAGUAACCUGCACCCCGAUGCCCCAGGCUGAAACCCUUUGGCUUUGGCCCUGGGCCCCAGCGAGUCUAAGCCAGUCUUGGCAACCCCAUUAAAAUGGGGUUGUGACCUACUUUGGGGUCCCAACCCAGUUUGAGAAUUGCUGAGAUAACACAAACCAUGUGCAGAAAUGCUUCUGUUUUCCUUCUGAAUUCUGACCUUUAGCAAAGAUUCCCUCCAGAGGCAAGCUCUGUUGUCCCACAGUGGGUUUGUAUAUUUGCAAAGCUAACAAAGAGGGAUAACUGGAGCCAUUGAGUAGUGCUUUCUUUACGCUUGCACCAGCAUGUCUACAUCUGGAAAAAUUUAGCAUAUGCUUCUGAAGCUGGCUAGUUAGGAAAACUUUACUGACCACACACAAUGGAAUAAACUCAGCCAGCUAUCUGCCCACAAAGUAAGAUGC